rnacentral:lncRNA from 1 species
CAACGGACCACCACACAGAAAGCAUGUGUUCAGUGGUGGAAUAAAAACGUGAGAAGUCACCACAACAGCAUCAACCACAACCUGGCACCUCAGGUCUGUGCUCUGCAACAGAUCGAGAAAGCACACAAGGAAUAAUGAGGCUUUUACAGCCCGUGAACCGUGGUGGGUUUAACGUGAAUAGGGCUCAACACAGAGCUCUGCAGCACCCACACGAGUGUGUGAGGGCAGUGAGGGAAUGAAGCAGCUGAGCGGGGAAGGCGUUGGACAGAACCAGCACUCACGGGUCGAUUGUAACUUUGAUGCAGGACAUGCUUUUAUCCCUCUGCUUGUUGUCCGCAGCAUUGACCAGGAUCUCGUCGAAGAUCUUGUACAGGCCGGGCACGAAGGUCACAUCCCUGCAGUUGAGGCCCACGUCCUCAUCGAACACCCACAUUUGCUGCGUGACGGUCUCCACGGAGCCGAUGUAGGUGUCGGGCCGCAGGAGGAUGUGCUCCAGCUGCGUCUUCUUCUGGUAGAUGCGCUCCACCGAGAGCCGCUUCUGGGCGCCAUCGGCUUUGGGCAGCCGGGGGUUGUCGUGCAGGGGUCGGAGCGGCGCCGGGGAGUCCAGGAGCUCCAUGGCGGCGGGGCGCUGAGCGGAGCGAUGGCGGACGGUAACGGCGCGGCGCGUUUCAAACCUCCGCCGGGCCCGCCGAAACGCUCCGCCAAUCCCCGCGCGCCGCCCCCCGAAAGCCGCCAAUCGCUGAGGGGCGGCGGGGACGUAGAGCCCGCCCCCUCCUCCUCCUAGCCGGCCGCGAGGCGCUCCGCUCUUUCAAAACCAGCCAGUCAGGAAGGCGGCUGUUUGAUGGGCAGAGCCAAUGACCAAUAGAAGAGCGAGGAGGGAGGGCGCUGCGCGGCCGGAUCCCCGCACAUGCUCAGUCGUUGUUGUCGGAAAGAUGGGGCGGGCUGCGAUGCGCGGUGACGCCGUGCGGGAGGGGGGGGCGGGCUGGGGGCCGCGGGGACCCGCGGGGCAGGCUUGGAUGGGGGCCGCACCGGGCAGCACCGCGGCUUGCUGGCCGCCCUGCGCUGCCCCCACAGCCCCCCCGCGGGGGAUGCUCAGGACGGCCCCCCCCCAGCGCCGCCUUGCCUGCCCGUGCCGCCGUGGCUGCGGGGACGCUGUCGUUGCCGCGUGCAUCGCCCCGCAGUGCUGCUGCUGCUCCCGCGGCUGUUGCAGCGGAACGGCGCUGUGAGCUCACGGUCUCCGGGCGCUCCCCCCCCACAACACGCCGCCCCCCUCCCCCCCCCCCCCAUCCUCAGCCCCAUGGCAACGUCCGCAGCCCCACAGAGCAUCGCAGCCCCUGUCCCCAAACCCCGGGGGGGCCAUCCCGCCGUGCCCCUCCGUGCGGCCGACGGCACCCCGGGUGAGGCCCCUUCAGUGCAGCUGAACACUGCCCCGAACUCCAACUUUUUCUCAUCUUUUAUUUUUUUUGAGGGCGAUGCGAACAUCGGCUGGAGGUGCGGGGAGGGGGGGGGGGCUGCGCAGGGGAUGGGGCGCCGUCCUCCCGGCGCUCCCCGCCGCAGCGCCCCCCCCGCCCCCCCGCCGGGGCUCGGCGGCACCGCGCGGCCGUCACCACAUGUGGCGGUACGGGAAGGCGACCUCCACGCAGAGCAGCACGAGCGCCUCGGAGCAGUUGCGGCGCUGCCCGGCCAGCAGCCGGCCCUGAGCCAGCGGGGCCGCCAGGCCCUCCCCGGGGCCGGAGCUCCGCCAGCCCUGGCAGUCCCGGCGCUUGGCGUGGCCGCCCCGCGGCGUGGAUCCGUGCCAGGCCAUCCCGCGGGGCCUGCGAGCGGCGACGGCGCGAUGGGGGAACCGCGGGGAGCCCUCCGCAUCCUCCCACCCUUCGCACCUCCGAGCGGAGCCGCGGCUGUGCGGGGCCGGCACUCACCAGAGGGCGUCCGUCAGCACGUUGCGCCC